UACGAAGGGGGCUAGCGUUGUUCGGAAUUACUGGGCGUAAAGCGCGCGCAGGCGGUUUCUCAAGUCAGUGGUGAAAGCCCGGAGCUCAACUCCGGAACUGCCAUUGAAACUGUGAAACUUGAGGACGAGAGAGGUGAGUGGAAUUCCCAGUGUAGAGGUGAAAUUCGUAGAUAUUGGGAAGAACACCGGUGGCGAAGGCGGCUCACUGGCUCGUUUCUGACGCUGAGGUGCGAAAGCGUGGGGAGCAAACAGG
rnacentral:rRNA from 1 species